rnacentral:tRNA from 1 species
GAUUUAGCUCAGUUUGGUAGAGCACUUGGUUUGGGACCAAGGGGUCACAGGUUCGAAUCCUGCAAUC